UACGGAGGGUGCAAGCGUUAAUCGGAAUUACUGGGCGUAAAGGGUGCGUAGGUGGUUUGAUAAGUUAUCUGUGAAAUACCUGGGCUUAACCUGGGCAGGUCAGAUAAGACUGUUAGACUAGAGUAUGGGAGAGGGUAGAGGAAUUUCCGGUGUAGCGGUGAAAUGCGUAGAUAUCGUAAGGAAGACCAGGUGGCGAAGGCGGGUCUCUGGACAGUUCCUGACGCUGAGGCACGAAGGUCAGGGGAGCAAACGGG
rnacentral:rRNA from 1 species